rnacentral:misc_RNA from 1 species
GAUGAAGAACGCAGCGAAAUGCGAUACGUAGUGUGAAUUGCAGAAUUCAGUGAAUCAUCGAAUCUUUGAACGCACAUUGCACCUCUCGGUAUUCCGGGAGGUAUGCCUGUUCGAGCGUCAUUUGUACCCUCAAGCUCUGCUUGGUGUUGGGUGUUUGUUCCGCCUCUGUGUGUGAACUCGCCACAAAACAAUUGGCAGCCGGCGUACUUGUUUCGGAGCGCAGCACAUUUUGCGAUCCAGAUCAACGUACAGCGGCAUCCAAGAAGCCUUAUUUAACGCUCUUGACCUCGGAUCAGGUAGGGAUACCCGCUGAACUUAAGCAUAUCAAUAAGCGGAGGA